UUUCCGUAGGUGAACCUGCGGAAGGAUCAUUACAAACGAGGGGGUGAGUGGUGAGUGGUGGGUAGGUGAGGUGAGGACUCGUUCUCGCAUUCUUGCUCACCUCAGCUCACCUCAGCUCACCCCACAUGCACGGGGCCGUGAGGCCCUGAUGUCUGCGCUUAUAUGUUUGACAGAGUCAUGGUGGCAAUUCUAUACAACUUUUAACAAUGGAUCUCUUGGCUCUU
rnacentral:misc_RNA from 1 species